CAAUCCUCAACACGUUACACAAGCUGUUUCAUAAAAUUUUAAAGGCAGAAGUUGUGUAAGGUAGAUGCUUUUCUUGCCAAAUAAUACAUCAAGAGGCAUUUACAUUCAUUCAUUCAUUCAUUCAUUCACAUCUCUUCAAACUUCAAACAGACAGAGCUGUCAGGUUGCAGGGAUGUGGGCUUCAGGUCUGUUGCUCCUCCUUGCUGGUCUGUGGCAUCGGUCCAACACCCAGAACUCCGAGCCCAUGUUUCAGGAUGUAACACAGACGGUGCUUCCUCCUGACAAUCUGCACAAUCCCAUGCAACUCAACUAUGGAAUGGCUGUCACCGACGUGGAUGGGGACGGUGAUCUUGAGGUGGUCGUUGCAGGGUACAAUGGGCCAAACCUCGUGUUGAAAUACGAUCGCACUCAGAAAAGGCUGUUUAACAUUGCUGUUGAUGACAUCAACUCCCCAUACCACGCCCUGAGGGACUCAGGAGGACAGGCCAUUGGAGUCACUGCUUGUGAUGUGGACGGAGAUGGACGUGAAGAAAUCUACUUCCUCAACACAAAUGACGCCUAUUCCGGACGGGCAACUUAUCUUGACAAGCUCUUCAAGUUCCGAAACGGACGCUUUGAAGACCUUGUGAGUGAUGAACUAAAUGUACGUAGGGGCGUCUCUAAACGCAUGGCAGGACGCUCUGUGGCAUGUGUCGACAGAAAGGGGACUGGCCGUUACUCCAUCUAUGUUGCAAACUACGCUUCACGUGGCGUCGGUGCCCACACCCUCUUGGAAAUGGACGAGGCCGCCAGUGAUGUGACCAACGGUGUCAUUGCUCUGUCUGAUGUGGCUGCGGAGGCCGGGGUCAACAUGUUGACAGGAGGACGCGGUGUGACUGUGGGACCGAUUCUGAGCCAGUCCAGGUCUGAUGUGUUCUGUGACAACGAGAACGGACCCAACUUCUUGUUCAAGAAUAAAGGAGAUGGGACUUUUACCAACAUGGCCAAACAAGCAGGAGUGGAUGAUGCGACCCAGCAUGGCAGAGGUUUGGCCCUGGCUGACUUCAAUGGCGAUGGAAAGACAGAUAUCGUCUACGGCAACUGGAACGGCCCACACAGACUUUUCCUGCAGGGCAGCAACUCUAAAUUUCGGAACAUAGCCACUAGAGAAUUUGCUACUCCCUCGCCCAUACGCACGGUCAUCGCUGCUGACUUUGACAACGACAAGGAGCUGGAGGUGUUUUUCAACAAUAUAGCCUACAAUGGCCUCUCCCCUAACAGGCUGUUCAGGGUGUCAAGGAGGGCAGAUGCGGACCCUUUGAUUCAGGUGCUUAAUGUGGGCGACGCUGCAGAGCCUCAGGGACGAGGAACAGGUGGCACUGUGACAGACUUGGACGGGGACGGACAGCUGGACCUGCUGCUGGCACAUGGAGAGAGCGCCAGGCAGCCAAUCUCUGUCUUUAAGGUCACGCAGGGCUCAUCCAACAACUGGCUGCGGGUCAUCCCUCGCACCCAGUUUGGCGCUUUCGCCCGAGGAGCCAAGGUCACGGCCUUCACCAGUCAGAGCGGAGCUCACACUCGCAUCAUCGACGGAGGCUCUGGGUAUCUUUGUGAGAUGGAGCCUGUCGCCCACUUUGGUUUAGGAAAUGAUCAGGUCACGGUGCUGGAGGUCUCCUGGCCAGAUGGCAGCUCCUUCACUCGGACCCUGCAGCCUGGUGAAAUGAACUCAGUGGUGGAAGUCACCUAUCCCAAAGAAGGGGAAACAGCCGUGCUUGCCAACGACACGCAGGUACGCAGAGCGGAUCUACAGCAUGAAUUAUGAACACGGUUAAUAUUCAGUGUGGUAAAGGUUUUACCGUGCGGAGUGGCCAGUGUGCAGGUCUGUGAGGACAAUCAGAUGGAGUUCCAUACGAACUUUCUGAGCAAAAUGCAAAGCUGUUACAGAAAACCUGAUUUUAGAAUGCUUUGUUUUAUCUGUACUUUAAGGACAGUCCUUUUUUCUCUUUACUCUGUGGGUAGCUUUAAUAUUUUCUUUCUUUUUUUAACUAUAAAUGUCUUUAAUAAACUGCAACGAAUCAGUAUGGUAUGGAUUAUCACCGAUUGUAACAAAUAAAGUCUUCGGUACUUAGA